AGAGUUUGAUCCUGGCUCAGAGCGAACGGGGAUAACGCUGGGAAACUGGUGCUAAUACCGCAUGAUACCCGAGGGUCAAAGGCGCAAGUCGCCUGCGGAGGAGCCUGCGUCCGAUUAGCUAGUUGGUGGGGUAAAGGCCUACCAAGGCGACGAUCGGUAGCUGGUCUGAGAGGAUGAUCAGCCACAUUGGGACUGAGACACGGCCCAAACUCCUACGGGAGGCAGCAGUGGGGAAUAUUGGACAAUGGGCGAAAGCCUGAUCCAGCAAUGCCGCGUGUGUGAAGAAGGUUUUCGGAUUGUAAAGCACUUUCGGCGGGGACGAUGAUGACGGUACCCGCAGAAGAAGCCCCGGCUAACUUCGUGCCAGCAGCCGCGGUAAUACGAAGGGGGCUAGCGUUGCUCGGAAUGACUGGGCGUAAAGGGCGCGUAGGCGGUUGACACAGUCAGGCGUGAAAUUCCUGGGCUUAACCUGGGGGCUGCGCUUGAUACAUGUCGGCUUGAGUGUGGAAGAGGGUCGUGGAAUUCCCAGUGUAGAGGUGAAAUUCGUAGAUAUUGGGAAGAACACCGGUGGCGAAGGCGGCGACCUGGUCCAUUACUGACGCUGAGGCGCGAAAGCGUGGGGAGCAAACAGGAUUAGAUACCCUGGUAGUCCACGCCGUAAACGAUGUGUGCUGGAUGUUGGGUGGCAUAGCCAUUCAGUGUCGUAGCUAACGCGGUAAGCACACCGCCUGGGGAGUACGGCCG
rnacentral:rRNA from 1 species